UACCUGGUUGAUCCUGCCAGUAGCAUAU
rnacentral:piRNA from 8 species